GACGAACGCUGGCGGCGUGCCUAACACAUGCAAGUCGAGCGGAGAUAGACUGAUGGUAACUGAAGUUUGUCUUAGCGGCGGACGGGUGAGUAACACGUGGGCAACCUGCCUUGGAGUGGGGGAUAACACCGGGAAAUCGGUGCUAAUACCGCAUAACAUACACAAACUGCAUGGUAAGUGUAUCAAAGGAGCAAUCCGCUUUAAGAUGGGCCCGCGGCUGAUUAGCUAGUUGGUAAGGUAACGGCUUACCAAGGCGACGAUCAGUAGCCGACCUGAGAGGGUGACCGGCCACACUGGAACUGAGACACGGUCCAGACUCCUACGGGAGGCAGCAGUGGGGAAUAUUGCGCAAUGGGGGAAACCCUGACGCAGCAACGCCGCGUGGAGGAAGAAGGUCUUCGGAUUGUAAACUCCUGUCUUCUGGGACGAAGUAUGACGGUACCAGAGGAGGAAGCCACGGCUAACUACGUGCCAGCAGCCGCGGUAAUCGAUACUCGUA
rnacentral:rRNA from 1 species